rnacentral:rRNA from 1 species
UACAGAGGUCUCAAGCGUUGUUCGGAUUCAUUGGGCGUAAAGGGUGCGUAGGUGGCAUGGUAAGUCGGAUGUGAAAUCCCGGGGCUCAACCCCGGAACUGCAUUCGAUACUGCUGCGCUAGAGUACUGGAGAGGAGAUUGGAAUUUACGGUGUAGCAGUGAAAUGCGUAGAUAUCGUAAGGAAGACCAGUGGCGAAGGCGGGUCUCGUGGACAGUUCCUGACGCUGAGGCACGAAAGCGUGGGGAGCAAACAGG